CUCCCUUAAGAAGCUAUAUCAGAAUCUCAGAGGGAGGCCUAGCAGUGAUGGGCCAGAUGGAUGGACAGUGCCAGUUGGAACAGUCCAUGAUAAUGUCGGACUAGGCGCAGGGUGAGAGCUGAGCUCCCUUUCCAGCUCUGUGUGCCCUGUGGACUUAUGAGUCCCUUGGACCUGGCUAUCCCUUCUUGUCAUCCAUAGGGUGUUCUGUCUGGAUAGCAAGGCUCUCAUUGAAGAUAUUGACAGAGCAUUAGUGACAAAAAGAAAGCAAACUC